UCAUGUUGUGAUCGCUGUAGUAAGUCAUCAUCAUAAGCUACGUGAGAGAGAAGAGAAAAGAGAGAAGAUCGUGAUGGGUCCAAAAUAAGAAGCAACCAGACCCGAGCCGUGAAAGCAAAGGAGGAAGGGGGAGAAGCAGAUCGACGUCAAUGGAGACGAGAGUUUUCCACGGUGAUGGUGAGGUAAGUGAGAUCAGAUAAUGGUGGAUUUCUUUUUGCGGACACA